rnacentral:rRNA from 1 species
GAUGAACGCUAGCGGGAGGCCUAACACAUGCAAGCCGAGCGGUAUUGUUUCUUCGGAAAUGAGAGAGCGGCGUACGGGUGCGGAACACGUGUGCAACCUGCCUUUAUCUGGGGGAUAGCCUUUCGAAAGGAAGAUUAAUACUCCAUAAUAUAUUGAACGGCAUCGUUUAAUAUUGAAAGCUCCGGCGGAUAGAGAUGGGCACGCGCAAGAUUAGCUAGUUGGUGAGGUAACGGCUCACCAAGGCGAUGAUCUUUAGGGGGCCUGAGAGGGUGAUCCCCCACACUGGUACUGAGACACGGACCAGACUCCUACGGGAGGCAGCAGUGAGGAAUAUUGGUCAAUGGGUGCAAGCCUGAACCAGCCAUCCCGCGUGAAGGACGACUGCCCUAUGGGUUGUAAACUUCUUUUGUAUAGGGAUAAACCUACCCUCGUGAGGGUAGCUGAAGGUACUAUACGAAUAAGCACCGGCUAACUCCGUGCCAGCAGCCGCGGUAAUACGGAGGGUGCAAGCGUUAUCCGGAUUUAUUGGGUUUAAAGGGUCCGUAGGCGGACUUAUAAGUCAGUGGUGAAAGCCUGUCGCUUAACGAUAGAACUGCCAUUGAUACUGUAAGUCUUGAGUAUAUUUGAGGUAGCUGGAAUAAGUAGUGUAGCGGUGAAAUGCAUAGAUAUUACUUAGAACACCAAUUGCGAAGGCGGGUUACCAAGAUAUAACUGACGCUGAGGGACGAAAGCGUGGGGAGCGAACAGGAUUAGAUACCCUGGUAGUCCACGCCGUAAACGAUGCUAACUCGUUUUUGGGCUUUAGGGUUCAGAGACCAAGCGAAAGUGAUAAGUUAGCCACCUGGGGAGUACGCUCGCAAGAGCGAAACUCAAAGGAAUUGACGGGGGCCCGCACAAGCGGUGGAUUAUGUGGUUUAAUUCGAUGAUACGCGAGGAACCUUACCAAGACUUAAAUGGGAAUUGACAGCUUUAGAAAUAGAGCUUUCUUCGGACAAUUUUCAAGGUGCUGCAUGGUUGUCGUCAGCUCGUGCCGUGAGGUGUUAGGUUAAGUCCUGCAACGAGCGCAACCCCUGUCACUAGUUGCCAUCAUUCAGUUGGGGACUCUAGUGAGACUGCCUACGCAAGUAGAGAGGAAGGUGGGGAUGACGUCAAAUCAUCACGGCCCUUACGUCUUGGGCCACACACGUAAUACAAUGGCCGGUACAGAGGGCAGCUACACAGCGAUGUGAUGCAAAUCUCGAAAGCCGGUCUCAGUUCGGAUUGGAGUCUGCAACUCGACUCUAUGAAGCUGGAAUCGCUAGUAAUCGCGCAUCAGCCAUGGCGCGGUGAAUACGUUCCCGGGCCU